rnacentral:rRNA from 1 species
CUACGGGUUGCUGCAGUGGGGAAUAUUGCACAAUGGACGAAAGUCUGAUGCAGCAACGCCGCGUGGAGGAUGACACAUUUCGGUGCGUAAACUCCUUUUAUAUAGGAAGAUGAUGACGGUACUAUAUGAAUAAGCACCGGCUAACUCCGUGCCAGCAGCCGCGGUAAUACGGAGGGUGCAAGCGUUACUCGGAAUCACUGGGCGUAAAGAGCGUGUAGGCGGAUAGAUAAGUCAGGAGUGAAAUCCUAUGGCUCAACCAUAGAACUGCUCUUGAAACUGUCAAUCUAGAAUGUGGGAGAGGUAGAUGGAAUUUCUGGUGUAGGGGUAAAAUCCGUAGAGAUCAGAAGGAAUACCGAUUGCGAAGGCGAUCUACUGGAACAUAAUUGACGCUGAGACGCGAAAGCGUGGGGAGCAAACAGGAUUAGAUACCCGGGUAGUC